CCUACGGGAGGCAGCAGUAGGGAAUAUUGGACAAUGGGCGAAAGCCUGAUCCAGCAAUGCCGCGUGAGUGAUGAAGGCCUUAGGGUUGUAAAGCUCUUUUACCCGGGAUGAUAAUGACAGUACCGGGAGAAUAAGCCCCGGCUAACUCCGUGCCAGCAGCCGCGGUAAUACGGAGGGGGCUAGCGUUGUUCGGAAUUACUGGGCGUAAAGCGCACGUAGGCGGCUUUGUAAGUCAGGGGUGAAAGCCUGGAGCUCAACUCCAGAACUGCCUUUGAGACUGCAUCGCUUGAAUCCGGGAGAGGUGAGUGGAAUUCCGAGUGUAGAGGUGAAAUUCGUAGAUAUUCGGAAGAACACCAGUGGCAAAGGCGGCUCACUGGACCGGUAUUGACGCUGAGGUGCGAAAGCGUGGGGAGCAAGCAGGAUUAGAUACCCUGGUAGUCCACGCCGUAAACGAUGAUAACUAGCUGUCCGGGAACUUGGUUCUUGGGUGGCGCAGCUACGCAUUAAGUUAUCCGCCGUGGGAGGUACGGCCGGCGAACGGUUAAAACGUUAACGAAAGGAAAGUUAGACGGCGUGAGACGUGCCGAACGGACGACGACGAGGGAGGUAGG
rnacentral:rRNA from 1 species